GGCAGAGGGAAUUGCAGCCGGUGUCAGGGCUUGGAGCCCGGAGACGUUUUGUGUUUGGAUCCUGCACCCGUCCCGGCUGCUUCGGCCGCGAGGCUCCCGGAGGUUCCGGAGGAUGCUGAGUCCCCGGCGCAGAAGCAGAGCAGAGCCCGGCUCCGGCAGCGCCUUCCCGGGGAGCUCUGGCAGCUCCGCCCCUCUCCUGCCAUCCCGGUUCAGCCAGGAGCCAUCCAUCAGGGAACAGUUCCCCUCCGAGGAGAACGCAACAUGGAAAGAAGCAGCACAUUCCUACCAGCCUUUAAUUGAUGUUUUUGUUUGUUUGUUUUGGAAAUAAGAUCCAAGGAGGAUGCAGUGCUG